GCUAAAAAUAGAUGAGCGAUUGGUCUGAAGCUACAAGAGAGCCAAGAUGAUGCAAAAACUCUGUAGAAAAUCUAUGCCUUGGACAGUGAGCUGACCUUAGAUGCCAGGUAACCUAAGUGUGGGCCUGACUCUAGUGACAGUGACAUCAUCGCAAGAAAGUCAGUUGUUCUAGAUCUUAAUUUUACCAUCUAUAAAACUAGGAAAAAUAAUGUAAUACUUACUUUUUUUUUUUUUUAGGACAACAAAAUAUCAAAAUCACCUUCCUAAGGACCCAGCCUUGGUGAACAUAUUUGCCUAAUCAAAUGUCGAGUACACGCUCAGAAAAGAUUUUUGGACUUAUGAAAUUAUUUCUAUAAAAAUUCUUACCAAGAGGUAAACAUGAAAUCACAUUUGUUUAUAUAUUUUGUAAAUCUUCUUUAAUCGAAAGCAAUCAGAACAGCCCCAAAUUAAGACUAUCACAGAAAAUCUUGGACUUUGGGGCAUUAUUCAUUAGAGAAACAGUAAAAACAAAACAAAACAAAACAACCAAGAAAACCUAUGUCAUUCUACCUACUUUCUACCAUAGUUGCUACCUUAGCUCCAGAUCAUCAUUAUCCACUGAUACCCCACAUUCAAUCUGCAGACGGUCCUGGGCAUGGUCCUUCCUGCCCAGUAAGUGUGGGGAGUGUGUGUCCUUACUAUUAGAUGUUUAUGCUAUUCUUUGCUUCCAUGUUUUGGCUUCAUUGAGGUUUUAUUUGUGUAACAGUUGGUUAACUCUCAUCAAAACUGUAGGAGAUGAAAAAAAUCUUUCCUCUACCCUCUUAGGUUUGUACCUGGGGCUUGCAAAUUAAACUGACAAAGAUAGGUUAACAAGAGAAAAAGCAUUUAAUUUUAAUUGAUGUUAGUUGGGGUUUUUUGUUGUUGUUCUUGUUUAUUUUGGGUUUUGUUUUGUGGGUUUGUUUUUUUUUUUUUUUUACCUGCACAGGGGCUUCACAGAAAAAUGAAAACCAAAGAAGUGGUUAAACUUAAGAACUUCAAUGCCAUUUUAACAAAGGGUAAUAAAUUGUAGAAAAAUGACUAGACAAAGGGUGGUUCGGCUUCUAGGGCUGAUAAGUUAUGGAAAGACAACUAGGAAAUCUAUGGGAGGAAACUAACGUUAGAUAAAGAUUGUUUAUUAAGAUUUGUACAGACUCAUCUUGGUGCCAUCUCUGUCUCUGGUGGUUAAGGAUUGUUCUCCCCUUCCUUAUAUGGAAGGAGCCACCCGCACAAAGGAAAUUUAUGUGCUACUUUUAGGCAGAUGGGAAAGGGAACAGAGAGCUCUUCUUAUGUCUGUUUUUUUUUUUUUUUUCAAUUGCCUUCAGCUCAAAACAAUCCUUAUGCCAAAGUGGCAUAUUUGGGGAUGCUGUAUCCUGAUUCCCUUGAUAACCGUAUCACAGCUUGAGCAGGUACUGGGUAGUGCAAGGAAGGGUAUCAGAGUUUCAAUUUGAGCUUUGCUUGAGUGACAAACCGGUCCCACUUAGCCAAUCAGUGGCUUUAGAAACCCUUAAUCAUUUAGAAACCCUUAAGUCCUUAUUUCUGAGUUUUCAGGUAGACAGAAGGGAGAGGCCAAGAACCAACAACUCAUGAAUGAAAAAUUUCCACCUUUAAUUACCAAUUUUAGCAGAAAGCAAAAGGCCUUUGACAGUGCAGGAGAUUGAUCAGUUCACUCCAGUUGAAAUCAUCGUUUUCUGGGGUCAGGGCAUGAACAGCCUCUCCCAGCUGGAUAGGAUGCUCAGAUUACCAGCCCUGCAAAGGAACCAAGGGAGAAGCAGAGGCGAGGGGGAGCAAAAGGUCUCUGCUCUCUCCCUCAAGCUUCUCCGUGGGCUGGAGUCCCCAGAAGCUCUUGCAGAAUGACAGCCCCACCUGCCCACGCACCCUGGUCACGACACUGCCUCCAUGUUCUGCACCAGGAGCUGCCCCUCCUACAGUGCAAAUUCUCCUCCAUACAAUCUAAUCUGCUGCUUAAUCCAAUUUUUGUUUUUUAAAAGAAAUGAUUUGGGCCAGCCGGCAUCAACCUACAAAAGGAAAACAGCUAAACCUGCUCUAUUCUUUUCCAGAUAAGAAUUGUCUCUCUCUCUACCUUUUCAGCUGCGAUUAGCAUAACAAUCCCCAGGGGUUUGCUCACUGAGGGAAAUACCCAGGGUUCUCUUUAAGCAGUGGUUAAUUACAUCCUGCUAUUUAUCCCAUUGAUUAGAGGUUAACUAAUUUGCACCCAGCCAACUCCGUUUUUAAUCUAAUCUAUUUCUCUUUUUCCCCAGACUCCUGGUGUCCUGCAUCCUGUCUGUCACACAGUCUUCAACCUCCCUACCAAGGAAAAAGGUAAUGAGAACGGUCUUCUCCUCCAAGGACCAAAGGGCCCUUUUCAAAGCCCAUCUGGAUGCCCCUGCCUUGAACCUGAGCUAUAUCCUCUCCAGACCUGGCUUUCGUUUGGUGCAGUGGAAAAAGACACAGGCUUUGGAGCCAGACAAAUGUGGGUUUUGUGUGCUAACUUGGUCAUUUAGCCACCUGGGGAACUUUGGAUGAGUUCUGACCUUUACUUUC
rnacentral:lncRNA from 1 species